UGGCGGCGUGCUUAACACAUGCAAGUCGAGCGAAGCGGCUGAAUUGAUUCUUCGGAUGAUUUUCAGUUGACUGAGCGGCGGACGGGUGAGUAACGCGUGGGUGACCUGCCCCAUACCGGGGGAUAACAGCUGGAAACGGCUGCUAAUACCGCAUAAGCGCACAGAGCUGCGUGGCUCGGUGUGAAAAACUCCGGUGGUAUGGGAUGGGCCCGCGUCUGAUUAGGCAGUUGGCGGGGUAACGGCCCACCAAACCGACGAUCAGUAGCCGGCCUGAGAGGGCGACCGGCCACAUUUGGGACUGAGACACGGCCCAAACUCCUACGGGAGGCAGCAGUGGGGAAUAUUGCACAAUGGGGGAAACCCUGAUGCAGCGACGCCGCGUGAGCGAAGAAGUAUUUCGGUAUGUAAAGCUCUAUCAGCAGGGAAGAUAAUGACGGUACCUGACUAAGAAGCCCCGGCUAACUACGUGCCAGCAGCCGCGGUAAUACGUAGGGGGCAAGCGUUAUCCGGAUUUACUGGGUGUAAAGGGAGCGUAGACGGCAAGGCAAGUCUGAUGUGAAAACCCAGGGCUUAACCCUGGGACUGCAUUGGAAACUGUCUGGCUCGAGUGCCGGAGAGGUAAGCGGAAUUCCUAGUGUAGCGGUGAGAUGCGUAGAUAUUAGGAAGAACACCAGUGGCGAAGGCGGCUUACUGGACGGUAACUGACGUUGAGGCUCGAAAGCGUGGGGAGCAAACAGGAUUAGAUACCCUGGUAGUCCACGCCGUAA
rnacentral:rRNA from 1 species